CGGUGUUGUUGUGAGAAGUUCAUUAAACCUUAUCAUUUAGAGGAAGGAGAAGUCGUAACAAGGUUUCCGUAGGUGAACCUGCGGAAGGAUCAUUG
rnacentral:rRNA from 1 species